GCCCCUCCAGGGCCGCGCAGGGGAGACCGUUAGCCUAGACCUGCAGAGGAGAGGGCCCAGGGUCCUGCUGUUCCCGGGCGUCAGGGGGAAAAGCACCUUGGCUCCGACUCUGGCACGGAGGUGGAGCCCGAGAGGUUCUCCUGGGGCCACCUCCACCUCUAGGCCCAAGCGGGCCACACCACUAAUCCUCUUUUCCCAUUUCCGUCUGCUCCUUGAUGUAAUUACAGUUUGGGAUUGCAAUGCACCGAGUGAGCCCCUGCCCCACGCGCCCUCUACAUCUUCGGGUACGCCGCGGUGCAUCUCGCCGCUCUGAGAAUCGGAAACUACUCCAAAAGUCACCCCACUUCUAAAUGCCCCCGUCUCUGGUUUCCUCCAGCAACCCUCUCAAAGCCGUCCUCGCCCGGCCACCGCCACCAGCUCCGGUCCUCCCUGCCUGUCCCGUCAGCCACCGGGGCCUUCUGUGUAGCCAGCAGUGGACAGAGAGGUUCCUGACCUGUUAGGGGGCUGGGCCUGCAGUCCCUUGCCUUCCACGCGAACCCCAAGAUCCCAAGAAAUCCCCUUGAUCCGAAAGGAAGUCGAGAGGCCCCGAUGCAGAACCUUCCAGCGUUGACAAUAACCAUGUGGGGUGCUGGCUCUGCUGCUGGACGCCGGUGACCCUUGGAGAUUUCCCAGCACCCAGUCGGCUCCAAACGGGACCCCAUAGGCCUCAGAAGCCAUCAGCAGAGGCCAGGAGCUUGUGCCCACCCUCCUCUGCUCCGGUGCCAAAUAUCCUGCAACCCACAGAGUGCUGACACCCAGAGCUCACGCUGUCUGCAGCCGAGGGAUCUUCCACUGCCUUCUGCCACCGUUCUGCUCAUUUCUCAGCUCCGGUCUUGCCAGUAUCAACACUUCGAAUCUUUGCACUACACACACUCUCUCUCUCUCUCUCUCUCACACACACACACACACACACACACACACACACACACACACCCCACUUCCCACCCUAACCCCGCGCAAGGUCGUUCUUCCCGAAUCUCACUCCUGCUGGACGCGGGGAGGCACGUCCUGGCCCAGCGGGUCCGAGACAGGCUCCGACGGCGGGGAACUCGGAGUCCCCAGCACUGGGCUGCCCCCGGGACGCCAGGGGUCGGAAUCUUACUUAAACCCAAGCAGAGGGGGGCGAGGGCCACGGGCGUGACUGGCCGCAGCAGCCAAGGAAACCUCCAGGCCCCCGUGGCCCAGCCUGGCUGCCCCCGCUCCAGCCCUCUCUGCCCAGACCCUCCCGCGGCCCGGCCCCAGAUGAGCUUCCAGAAGCAGCUUUCUUAUUCAACAAGCAAGAGGCAAAACCCACUGCAAGGAACGACCCCGUGCACCAAACACGAGGCGUUUUCUUUGGUUCAAACCGAGCCCUUCUGCGUUUUUCCCUGCCUCAUUUUCUUUUCCCUCCCCACGGGGGAAACAAAAGAAAGUU
rnacentral:lncRNA from 12 species